UACGAAGGGGGCUAGCGUUGCUCGGAAUGACUGGGCGUAAAGGGCGCGUAGGCGGAUUGCUUUGUCGGGCGUGAAAUUCCAGGGCUUAACCUUGGGGCUGCGUUCGAGACGGGUGAUCUUGAGUUCGGAAGAGGGUCGUGGAAUUCCCAGUGUAGAGGUGAAAUUCGUAGAUAUUGGGAAGAACACCAGUGGCGAAGGCGACUUACUGGACACAUAUUGACGCUGAGGUGCGAAAGCGUGGGGAGCAAACAGG
rnacentral:rRNA from 1 species